UGGGGAAUAUUGCACAAUGGGCGCAAGCCUGAUGCAGCAACGCCGCGUGAGGGACGACGGCCUUCGGGUUGUAAACCUCUUUUAGUAGGGAAGAAGCGAAAGUGACGGUACCUGCAGAAAAAGCACCGGCUAACUACGUGCCAGCAGCCGCGGUAAUACGUAGGGUGCGAGCGUUGUCCGGAAUUAUUGGGCGUAAAGAGCUCGUAGGCGGUCUGUCGCGUCUGCUGUGAAAACCCGAGGCUCAACCUCGGGCCUGCAGUGGGUACGGGCAGACUAGAGUGCGGUAGGGGAGAAUGGAAUUCCUGGUGUAGCGGUGGAAUGCGCAGAUAUCAGGAGGAACACCGAUGGCGAAGGCAGUUCUCUGGGCCGUAACUGACGCUGAGGAGCGAAAGCGUGGGGAGCGAACAGGAUUAGAUACCCUGGGUAGUCCACGCCGUAAACGUUGGGCGCUAGAUGUGGGGACCAUUCCACGGUUUCCGUGUCGCAGCUAACGCAUUAAGCGCCCCGCCUGGGGAGUACGGCCGCAAGGCUAAAACU
rnacentral:rRNA from 1 species